CAUGUUAUAUAGAAAUUCCAAAAUCAUCUUUGUCAACAAAACAUAUUAUUUGAUCCUCUUACAGAUUGUAAAAGUAUGUCUCAUGCUCUACAGAUUGUCAACCAUCUUAUGCUUGUACUCAUCAUCGACUGCUAUAUGUUAUAAGGCACGAUAACAAAUUGUCCUUCAUCACCUCUUGCAAAUCUCACAACCUCCAAUUCUUGAUGCACUAAAUCGACUUUCACCACGACCAUUUCUGUUCCCUCGCCACCCCUGCUCGGAUGAAGAGGUGACUGAAAAGAAAAUGAUAUAAGUACAUCAAACAAUCAGAUCAGGGCUGUUGACAAUCCAGAAAUGCCAUGAGUCAUACUGGUGUACAUGAAUAACCAAAUGCCAUAUACAAUUGUCCUGAAGGGGGUAAAUAGAAAGUUUAACCAAAGUAAUCUUACAACCUCAUAUUAGAGGUUAGAUAUCUUUCACGGCAAUUACGGAAAUGAUGAACACUCUUACAGUAAAGGGAGUCAGUGGUGACAACGGGAGGCACACGCGUAGUCGGCGACAACUGCGCGGAUGAGAGGGGAGGACAGGGGGACUUAGUUUGUGCUCCUGUAGCUACACGAUGGAAGAAGUAAAAAAAUCAGUGUAUGCUCAGUCCAUGCAACAUUAAAAGUGCACCCAAAAAAGAAAAUCAAAAACUCAGUUUAUUCUCAUGGUUCUUUACUCAACACUUGCUUGGCCAUGUUGCUCUUUCCCCGCCUAUUCGCUGCACGUCACAAAAACACAUGCCAAAAGAAAUCUGGAAUACAAUGCCUAAAAAUUUGGAAUAUAAUGCCACAAAAACUUGCAAAAUUUCUUUUAAAUAUGAAUCUCUACUCUCCCCUGUUCACGAAAAUAUGUUGUGCUCUAGCUAGUCUAUACAGAUCAUACAGGUUCUAUUGAUUAGGGGGUCACUAAUAAGUGGAGAAAUAUGUAUAGAGAGAUAUGGGCGAGAAAGGCGCAGUACCAUUGCCUAUGUAACGUAUUAGUCUAACAUUCAUCAGUAUUAUAUACCGUGAAAUGUACAAGUCCACAUUGCAGACCACCCAAACAUGUCACAAUCCCUAUAUUAAGCUGAUAAAGCAAAUGAACAACCAGUCAGAACAUACUUAAAGUCAGGUCGAUUUACAAAUUGCAGGCAAUGAUCAAGAGUAGGUGAAUUACUAACCAAAGGAAGCCUCCAGAAUCAAAUCGAGCAUGACACCAUCAUGGACAUCAGGUUGAAGCGAUCUAUUUUCUAGAUAAUAUACCUUGCAUUUCUGUAGUAAUAAAGCAUGAACAAUGAUUGGAGAUUAGAAGAAAAAAUGAUAGAAAGAAAUAGUUGUGAGAGAUCUUGCAUUCACAUUUCAUGUAGCACAAUUAGAGAGAGAAAAGACAGGCAAAUAUAAAAAAUAAGGCCAAGAAUUGUUUUCUUAAAGCCUUAAAAUGAACUGGUAAAGAAAAACAAACCCCAUGGAAGAAAAGAACAAAAUAUGUGCUUCAGGUAGAAGCAUCAGUCACCAGGCUCACAUCCAAGGUUUUUGAGUCGCCGACUAAUCGCCAAGUCGUUGGAGCGAGGUUGGCUUGCACAGGCGACUUGGCUUGAGGAGCGAGUCGCGCGGCUGGUAGGCUAGUCGACGAUUAGUCGACGACUAGUCGGGCGACUAGGACCUCAGAGCAGGGCGGCUUGCUUCAGCAAGGCCAAGGGAGGGAAGACUGGGAAGGUGAGGAGGCCAGAGUUUGAGGGAGGGGAGGAGGAGACGAAGCUGGAGAGUGCGCCGCCUGUACGAGAAGCACGGAAGAGACGAAGGAGAAAGGCACAUGGGAGAGCAGAUGCACGGUCCAGAUUAGAGCAUAUGGACGGUUGGGAUUUUAUUUGGAAGCUAGGGUUACAUAAUGGGCCUAUUGGGCCAGCUCUCUAGCACGAAACAGAGGAGCAAGACGCGUGCUCCCAUCCCACAUCAGAAUCGCCGCCUCCAUUGCUCCUACGAGCUGCUGCUGCCUUCUCCGAGCUGAAGUAUCCUCCAAGCAGCUGCCUUCCCCCUCCUCCGCGUGCAACAGCACCUCUUCCCCCUCCUCCUCCUCCUCUUCCCCCUCCUCCUCCUCUUAACACCUGGGGCGACUUGGGGGCGAUUAAUCACGACGAGUCACAGACUAAUCGCAGCGAGCCACUAGUUGGAGGCAUGGCGACUCGACUUGGCUAGGCGACUCAAAAACCUUGCUCACAUCAUUGUUCUUUGCCAUGGUGCAGGCUUUGGUGCUGAAUGUAGAAUCUAGGCUUCCUCCUGACUACCCUUCUAAUGGUAUCCUCUCCUGCCUCAAUCUACGUUGUGUGGAUACUUCAGAAAGCGCACGUAUCCAGCCGGAUACUGCCCCGAUACGUAUCCCGUAAAUAUCUUUCGAUUUUUUGAUUUUAGAAAAAGAAAAUAAUGUUCGAUACUCCUGGGAUACUGCUGCGAUACGUUUUGGAUACCUCAAACCCCUCGUUCAACCUGAAAUCCCCUCAAUAGAAAAGGCGCACGUUUGAAGAUUCCCAACAUGGGCGUGAGUUCAUGUCAAAACAUGACUAUCAAUGUUCUUGUUCACCGGCCAUGUUGCUCUAAUUUCCCCUACGCCUAUUCACUGCACGUCACAACAACACAUGCCAAAAGAAAAUCUGGAAUAUAAUGACUAAAAAUUUGGAAUAUAAUGCCACAAAAACUUGCAAAAUUUCUUUUAAAUAUGCAUCUCUACUCUCUCCUGUUCACAAAAAUAUGUUGUACUCUAGCUAGCAUAUACAGAUCAUACAUGUUCUAUUGAUUGGGGGGUCACCAAUCAGUGGAGAAAUCUGUAUAGAGAUAUAUGGGUGAGAAAGGCGCAGUACCAUUGCCUAUGUAACAUAUUAGUGUAACAAUCAUCAGUAUUAUAUACCUUGAAAUGUACAAGUCCACAUUGCAGACCACCCAAACAUGUCACAAUCCCUAUAUUGAG
rnacentral:lncRNA from 1 species